CUCAAAAUAACAUACUCAUCAUGACACAUCUUGUUCAUAGAACCACAAAGUGGUUGACCAAUGAUAGCAGAAGGGAUUCAAUGUUAAUUGGAGCAACGCUUAUAUGAGAGGAAACUAUAUAAGUAGAAUUAUAUGUCAUAUAAAUAUAGCAUUCUACACAAAUUAGUCAAACCCCAAUUAUCGGAGCUUAUAAGGGGGGAGAAUAUCUCAUAAGGUUAAGUAAUCAUUGUCACAGUAAGUAUUCAACCAUACUGGAAUUAUUUUAAGAAACAAAUCAAUCAUCCAUGGAGAUAAGCUUUUCUUAUUAUUCAAGGAAAAAUACCAUUUGACCCCCUCAAAUUUUAAUGUUUUUCACAUGGACACCAUCUUGUUUAAAAAUUUGCAACCGAGUCCCUCAACUUAUUCUUCGGAUGCAAUGUAUAGCUGUGGCGCAAAGAGUGACCAAUAAUAAGGUUGCUCUAUUAUGACCUCAAACUCAUGAGUUCAAAAUAUAGAACAGCCUCUGCAUGUUGGGGUCCGGCUGCGUAUAGACCUUAUAAUAGUGGAAGCCACAUGCACUGGGAUGCCUUUUUUUCUCAUAUACAGCUAUGGCAUAACCCCUUAAUGCCAUUAACAGUGGGUGUUAAAAGACCAAAAUGCACUCAUUUCUUGUCCGAAUAUUGCAAGAACACGGUCAAAAGUUUUUACUGUAAAUAGUGCAGGAAUGGAUGAAGAUUUGAUCACAGUUGAAGUACACCAUUGUAGAUCACUACAGUUCACUCCAACCAUGCACUACAGUGGGGGGUUCAUAUCUCACUAUGACACUUGUGAUCUGAAGAAGAUUUCCUGGAUGAAAUUGAAGAUAUGACAAAAGUCCGGGUUAUAUGAAUUGUUCCAAUUUCUACUAAUCUGGUGCCAGACACGAGCCUAGAAAAUGGUUUGAAACCAAUGAAUGAUGAUAAAUGAGCUGGACACGUUGCAAGCUAUCCAAGAAAGAGCACCAUGUACAAGAACCAGUGGAUUGCCAAUAUAUUCCACUACCUCUUCCUUCCUCACAGCCAUCAACAUAGGAUGAUGAUGGUCAUUUUACCAAGUUAAGGCAAAGGAUAUGAACGGUUAGUGUAGCAGGGGAUCUCAAUGAUCAUGGGGUUGGACAAGUGGAUGUCAAUGAUGGUGGACAAGCUAAAAGAGCAAAAGCUGCAAAGUAUGGAGGAAAGGGUGAAAGACCAUAAGCAAGGAUUGCCAAACCGGUACCGGGUGCCGUACCGGACGGCGCCCGGUCUGGUUCGGUACUGGUUCGAACCGGAGGAAACCGUCUGGUUUCGUCCGGUUCUAUCUAGUACCGGCCGGUUCUAGCCGGUGUUACUGUGGUUCCGGCCUGGUUUCCAUAAGUAAACCAACCCGGUCAGAGACCGGGUCGGCUCGGUUUGGCCCAAACUAGGCGGUACGGCCUGGUUCGGCAAUCAUUGACCAUAGGUUAUAGAUGUGGGUGUUAAAAUGACUGGUGCACAGGAAGGGUCUAUGGCAAAGGAUGGUUGCUAGAUUCCCAGUCAUGGUUUUGUCAAUGUAAAUGUUCAGGUAUCUGCAUAUGGAGGGGUUGGUGGACAAGGUGAUGCAUAGGGUACAACCAUGGCGGUUCAAGUUAUUGGUGGGUAGCUGUGGGAAGAGACUUGUUAAAGAAGAUGGUGAAGACAGUAAUGAGGGUAGCGACAAUGAAAGUGAUGCUAGCAUGGCACUAAAUGAUCUUCAGGAGACCGAUGAGGAUGAUGAUGAUUCGUUCAGGGAGCAUACUAAUAAAACAGUUAUUGAGGAGAAUCUGAAAGUGAUUGCUGGAAAGUGGAUGCAAGAGCAACUAUUCACAAGAGGCUGAAGAUUCUGGACUAGCAGCCAAGGAACCAAAAUUAGAGGAUGGUAGUGAUAUUAGAAGCCUUAGUAGCUCCUCAGGUUCUGAUGGGGAACAUCCUAGUGUCUAAGAGUAUCCAGAACUCAAUUCAACAUCAGAUUUGAAGAAGCCUACAAAGCUUCAAGUUAGAAUGCACUUCGACCCUCAUGUUGUGUUCAAGGAGGCACUCAGGAAGCCAAGUAUUCAAGAAGGUUUUGACUACACCUAUAAGCACAACAAUAAGUUCAAAGUCACAACAAUAUGCAAGAGAGUUGUGAAUGGAGGAUACAUGCUUCUCCAAUGCUGAGAGAGGCAACAUUUCAAAUCAAGACCAAUGAGGCAACAUACAAGUGUUGCAAAUAAUCCAGAAAUCAAAAUGUCAGUUCCAAAUGGCUUGCUCAGACCUACUUAGAUUAGACAACAAACUUAAAGUUCAAGCUUUCAUUGAUAGAGUGAGGAGAGACUAUAAGGUUUUCAUAUAAAGACAUAGGCUUAUAAGAAAAAAUCAAGAUCAUACAUGGGCACAUAGGGAACAGUAUGCUAAGCUAUAGGAGUUCUAUCACAUCAUCAGCUCAACAAACCCUUGCUCCACCAUAAAGAUGGUUAACAUACAAAGACUUGGUGUAAAACCCAUUUUUAAGAGACUUUAAGUGGGUUAGGAUGCUCGCAAGAAGGGCUUGAUAAAAGGAUGCAAACCCAUUAUUGGAAGGUUGCCACCUAAAAGAUUCUAUGGGAGGACAAUUGCUAGUAGUUGUUGCGAACAUGGUUAGCCAUACCGACCCGAACCAGGCAGUACGGGGCGUAUUAUACCAUAUUGGUUCAGUACCAGUAUCCGAUACAGGUGGCGUAUCGACACUCGAUACAUCAAAAGGAUUCCAUACCGACAUAGUGCUAGUGUGACACCAGUACGGGGUUCGGUACCAAGAUGACAAACUUUGGUCGGAAAGGAUAAAAAUGAAAAUAGUUUUCCAACUGCAUGUUUUGUGCCAGAAGCUGGGACAAAGGAUAGGUAGAUGCAGUUUGUCACUGAUCUAUUGACAAACAUUAGAUCUAUAAAGAGAACGAAUGGACCUUUAUGUCUUAUAUAUAUAUGUGUGUGUGAUUUAUGUAUGUAUGCAUGCAUGCAUGCAUGCAUGCAUGUAUGUAUAAGUUAAUUGAUUCCCUCAAAAUCUUAUUUGUUUGCCUCAUUAUUAGCUCCAUUAUUGACACUAAGGUCUUCUUAUUUCAUGACUGGUUGGUCAACUACUUUAUACAAAUUUCGUGUUGGGCACAUGCAUACCAGCUUCAAGACAAUUUACAAGGGCGGUAACUUCAGAAUUGCUCUCUUUGCUGCUGCAAAAGCACAUAUUUCUCAGGAGUUUGCUGUAGAGAUGAAAGAAGAGAGAAAAUUGGAUGAGAAUGCAGCUGCACGGUUGAUGGACAACAAGCUGGAAUUGUGAGACAGACAUACCUUCGAGGUCCAAGUCAAACAAGAUAUUGAACAACAUAUGUGCAAGUUUUAACGGUUACAUCUUUGCCAAUAAUUUCUAUGCUUGAAACAAUUAGGAGGCUACUAAUACAAAGAUUUCAAGCAAGGAGAGAAGGGGUGAUGAAAUAUGAAGGACCCACAUGUCCUUAGAUUCAAAAGAAGCUUGAGGAGGAGAUGAUGGAUGCAAUGGAAUAGUAGUGUUCAUGGGGAGGGGGUACCAGAUAUGAGAUAGAUCAUCCAAAUGGCAGAUUUUUGUUGAACUUAAAAUAAUGAAUCUGUGGAUGCAUGAAGUGGGAUUUGAUAGGAAUCUCCUGCCGCCAUGCAGUGCCAGCUAUAACAUUCAUGAGAUAGGACAAUGAGGACUUUGUGAGUGCAUAUUACUCCAAGUGUCUGGAAUUAAGUUUUGACAACCAAACACUUUUUGAGCCACCUCAAACAGCACCACUUAGAAGACAUCUAGAAAGACCCAAGAAUAAAGGUGAAGGGUGGAAGAUGAAGAAAAGUAUCCUCAAAAGGUUAAGACAAGGGGUAAUUUGCUCAGGUGUGGGAAUUGCUUGGAGUGGGGGCAUAAUUCCAAGACCUGUAAAGAAGGACAAGCAUCCAAAUAAGAUUAUUCCAAGGAAAACGGGACAAAGGAGUUCAAGUCAGCCAGAGAAAUUCAAGAGAAAACCUGGAAGAUCAAGGAAAAUGAGUCAUCAAGCACCUCAGGGACAAAGAAAUGAGGCUGCCGAAGCAAGUUCAAAUGUCAAUCCAGAAGUAGGGGAACUUUUAAACCAAGUGGUGAGUCAGGGUAGCUUUUAGAUCAGGUGGUGGAGCAAGUCCAUCAAAGAAUUCUACUUCUUUUACAAGUGCAUCUCAGAUAAUUUAUUCAAUUCCUAAUUACUGCUUA